AUGAGCAGGCAUACAUGGAGGCAGAACGCAGGCACGCCACGGGCCUGAAGCAGGGCUGCCACACGCCACCAUUCGACAACUCAAGGGCACCAUUCAUUCAUGCAGGCUGUCCUGACAAAAUGCCAAGUUAGCAAAAUAAGAUCACACAGUCACUCUUCAUCACAGCUGGAGAAUCUGAAUUUACGAGUAUCUUGCAUCAAAACGCUGCCUCAGAGAGAACAGAAAGUGAAAAUACAGAUUCCUGAAAUCAUACAAUAAGAGUAAAUGGGGCAUAGGAUUGGACAGUUAAGAAGAUGGGUGCACCAAGCAAGUGGUAUGCAGUAAUUAAGAUUCGUUUAGUUCCUACGCUCCCAAGAGACCCAGAAGUGUAACUGAUUCAAGUCUUCUUUAAUCCUUCCGUGUCCUUACAAGAAAAAUCCUCCAUUACUUUGGAUAAACCGAAGAAGUCUCUAUCUCAGCAGUGAAAACAGCCUCCCAUACCUGCUGGACGGAGUUCUGCACCAGGCCAGCAGGAACUGCUUAUCUGCUCACCUCUUCAUGCCCAAUGCCUAUCACAGUGCCUGGCAGAUAAAGGUGCUGAGUAAAUACCUGCAGAAUGCAUCAAUAAACUCUGCAAGGAAACAGAGCAAGUCUCCCUCUCCCCAUUAAUUUUGUUGCUGUAUUGAGUGUGGAUGCUGGGCACUGGAAUUGUAAGAGAGUCCCUGCCCUUGAAGAGCUUAUUAAGUCUAGUUGUAUUUUCAAAUACAAUGGCUUCAAAGACUUACACCCUGCAAGUAGCUACCUAAUUUAGAAAUACCGCAGGUGAAAGAGAAAUCCAGUAGAAGACUAAAAAACCUAAGAUAAUCUAUGAAACUAAAAGGUUGAUAGCAGUACACACAGUUUGCAUCUCUGAGCAUACUCCUGGGAGGGAAACUCCAAGUUAAAGAAACAAGAGCCCUGAGCUGUGAUCUGCAGUCAUAAACACACACACACACACACACACACACACACACACACACACACACACACACACACAUACACACACCCCGAGCAAACAAAAAUAAAAAACAAACUACCCUAUCUACACUGGAGCUGUGUUAGUUAAAUUAGCCUUUUGCAGAAAAGUGUUCGUAUACCCUAAGUGAAAUAUACACAAUAAUCUUGGAUUCAGCUGAAUAAUUUUAGCAUCCUUAUCCGCCCAUUAAUCACCUUUUCUAGCAACAAACACUUUCUGAAUCUGUUAACUGUCUAAAUAAAAUAUUCUAGAAACUGUGUAAAUUGAAACCAUGUAAGAUAAUUAUUUUUGACAGAGUAAAUAUUUAGUGCAGAAUAAAUGAAUUUC
rnacentral:lncRNA from 1 species